AACGAACGCUGGCGGCAUGCCUAACACAUGCAAGUCGAACGAGACCUUCGGGUCUAGUGGCGCACGGGUGCGUAACGCGUGGGAACCUGCCCUUAGGUUCGGAAUAACUCCCCGAAAGGGGUGCUAAUACCGGAUAAUGUCUUCUGACCAAAGAUUUAUCGCCUUUGGAUGGUCCCGCGUUGGAUUAGCUAGUUGGUAGGGUAAAAGCAUACUAAGGCGACGAUCCAUAGCUGGUCUGAGAGGAUGAUCAGCCACACUGGGACUGAGACACGGCCCAGACUCCUACGGGAGGCAGCAGUGGGGAAUAGUGGAAAAUGGGCGAAAGCAUGAACCAGCAAUGCCGCGUGAGUGAUGAAGGCAUUAGGGUAGUAAAGCUCUAUUACCCGGGAUGAUAAUGACAGUACCGGGAGAAUAAGCUCCGGCUAACUCCGUG
rnacentral:rRNA from 1 species